UACGAAGGGGGCUAGCGUUGUUCGGAAUUACUGGGCGUAAAGCGCGCGCAGGCGGUCUUCCAAGUCAGUGGUGAAAGCCCGGAGCUCAACUCCGGAACUGCCAUUGAAACUGUAAGACUUGAGGAUGAGAGAGGUGAGUGGAAUUCCCAGUGUAGAGGUGAAAUUCGUAGAUAUUGGGAAGAACACCGGUGGCGAAGGCGGCUCACUGGCCCGUAACUGACGCUCAUGCACGACAGCGUGGGGAUCAAACAGG
rnacentral:rRNA from 1 species